rnacentral:lncRNA from 1 species
CCAGGCUGGAUGGGGCCCUGGAGAAUCACAGAAUCACGGGAUGGCUCUGGUUGAAAGGGAUUUUAAGGCCCACCCAGCCCCAACCCCCCCACCAUGGGCAGGGCUGCCACCCACCAGCUCAGGCUGCCCAGGGCCCCAUCCAACCUGGCCUUGAGCCUCCAGGGAUGGGGAACCCACAGCUUCUCUGGACAGCUGUGCCAGGGCCUCACCGCCCUCUGAGUAAAGAAUUUCCACCUAACACCUAACCUAAACCUCCCCUCUUUUAGUUUAAAGCCAUUCCCCCUCAUCCUAUCACUAUCAAUAAAAGGUCAUCCCCCCUCCUGCUUAUGAGCUCCCUUCAAAUACUGGAAGGCUGCAUUGAGGUCUCCCUGGAGCUUUCUCCAAACUCAUAUUAGUAUCUCCUUCACUGCCUUGGGGUCAUCUCUUUUUUAAAUCUUCUCUGCCACCCCACUAGAGUCGCAGAGGAUGAUGUUCAGAGACUGAGGAGGCCUGUAGCUCCUGCUGUUAUGUAAGCCAGUUGUGAUUUUAUAAAAUAUAACUUUAUGUGUCCAUCUCAGGAACUGAUCUUCAUUCAUCUAUUGGUAAACCGUUCCUUCUUUCUUAAAGGGUAAAACAAGAGUGCUGAUCUCAGUUUUGGCUUCAAGGUUGCUCUGGAGAGCAUCAAGCUGAAAAGACACAAGGCUAGGCCCCUUCCACACUGCUGGUGAUGCAGACAUGUGGGUGUGGGCCUUGGCUCUGCUGCCCUCAGUGAGUACAGUCCAAGAAGGACCAUACUCGUGGAGGUUCAGCUGAGAGGUGGAGGUAGAAUGAGAGUAAAUUCCCCAGAGGAAGCACUGGAAAAGAACUCACCCAAUGAAAUGACCUGACAAGAGACACUUAGAAGAAGACGUCUGUCUCCUCGUAACAAAGUUCAAAAGGAGUUCUGAAAUGAGGAUAGCCUGCAAGGUUUGCUUUUCUGAACUCUUGGGACAUAAUCUAUGCAUUGAGAGUGGAUGUACUUCACCCACAAAGAUCCAGAUGAGAGAUACCAGCUCUGUUGGAUUAGUUGGUUUAACACCUCUCAAUCAGGUGGACAGUUAAACCCUCUUAGUUAAGGAUACAAACUGACAGUAAGGUCAAUCACAUAUAUGUUUGUAAGAUUUGGCCACAUCAAAUUCUGUGAUUACAGAGUCUCCAUCAGUAUUACACGUCUCUUGCAUGUGACAUGGAGAUAUGCUUAAUCUCCAGCAUAUUCUGAAUAGGUACUGCCAAAAUCUUGUUCCACUCAAUGGCAGAACAGCCUUUCUUUGAGACUAGCAUCAAGAAAUUGCAUCAGUACUUGAGGUAAGGUAGAUCAUAGCUUGACUUUCCUAGUUAUUAUCUAAAUGCAUACAUUAAAUCAUUGCCUUGAAGAAUUUAGAAUUGAAAGAGCAUUAUAGAUAAGAGCCAAGAGAAAAGAAAUAUCAGUAUUUACAUUUAUUAAUAUUGAUCAAAAAUGAAACCUAAAACUGGGCCUAAACUUUGGACAUUUUCUUUUUGAUAGAUCUCCUUCAAAAGAGAUAUCUCUGUGAACUAAGAAACCAGUAGAUUAACCACAGAAAGGAGGAACCACGUUAUAAAAGCAGGGAGGACUUUAUGUUUUUUAUCAAGGAUUGCAUUAUAUGAUUGUGAAAAUCAAAUAAAAAAUAACUAUGAAACUUGCA